GUAUGAUCUCAAUGUUAAUGCUUAUGAUGAAAUUAUAUGAGGGAUCUUAGGGUCAAAAUUGGGGUCUUACACAAGGCAGUGAAAAACAUCGACAUUAAAAGACCCUUGGGAAUUUCACCAUGAAAGAAUCUUUAUACUCAUAAGAGAUACUCAAAGAAGUCACACGCGGACCCUCUUCGAAUUUCUUCUCUUUCCUUAGUUCCUAACGUCUCUUUAAACGUAGACGAAAACACAAUCUAAAACUCUCCAUGCCAAAACCUCCCAACCUAAACCGGAAAACACUCUCAAACGCUCCGACAUCACAUGAUAAAUCAAAGAUCUACCUUAUACAAACCCUUAACCAAACUCCAACAAUCAAACCGAAACAUUUCAAUCUAAACCAACAAAGGUAACAAACAAACACAUAUGCCAACAAUCAGGUUUAUCACAUUGCCAUGACGUCGGUGCGUAUGGAAAAACAUAUGGAAAAAGUGAAGAAGGAAGUGAAAUAAACCUUACUGGAAAACAACGUUUCCGGCGAGCUUGGGAAGUGGAAUCGGAUCUUGGGUGUGCUACUGGGCUAACACGCCUUGCACAGAGUUCCGUUGCCGAGACUUCUCUUUUUCAACAAUGAUGCCCUCUCUGUUAGGGAUGAAAGACGUAAUUCACGGCAUGAUGGUGAGCCAUCCCUCUGAGGUACAACCUAUGAGCUGUCUACUACUAGACAAGAUAAAAAAAACAUUAGAGAGAAUUUUCACAGGAUUUUGUGGGGACCAGAGUAAUUGUGACAGGGUGAUUCUGGUGUGCAACUUGUGAUUUUAUUGGCAAGGUUCCGUAGCAGGUCUAGCAGGUUUUGCAGCUUAUCUUGAUUGCCAUUCCAGCUUUGGUUCGGUAGUAUUUAUGCAUUGAGUUUUUCUUGGCAAGGUUGCAGAAGUUAGUAACAUAACCGAAUCAUGUAUGCUAUUACAUUUGGCUACAUGUCUGAAUUAGGUUACCAGCAAGUUUGUCAUGAGCAACAGGCGGGAUUUCGAGCAAUGUUUCCUUGUGUUGCAUGCCUUAUAUUGCUGGUUCCAUAGCGAGUCUUGGUCUGGUAUUGGCGAGUUUGUGAACUGGUUCAUGUUAUGGUUUGGAUUUCAGGUUGCAGUUAGAUUCACAUUUUGGUUCUGGCUGCAUCUGCAUUUGAAGAUCCGCUGACAUUGAAAUUCUCCAACUAUAAUUUGGUCCAUUAUCUCCCUAUCCUUAUUGCUCGUUUCAUUCUUGGAAAUCUCUUAAUAUUGACCCUUACAUCUGGUAGAGACUCUAGGAGCUGUGAAAGUAUGACUUGUAGGUUCUUGUCCUUGACCAAGGAUCGCGUCUCUAUUUUCUCUGUUCAACACAUGAGGAUGAUGUCCAUAGUUUGGUAUUUGCGAAAUUUAACAUCUGGUUAUUUAAUUGCAAUCAAUUUGUUGGCACAAAAUUAGGAGCUUCAUAAUUGUUUAGGAUAUGACUUAAGAAGCUUAGGUUUGGGCUAUGUGACAAUGUAUUUGGAAAGUAGGUAAUGGAUAUAUGGACUUUGAAAGGAAUGGUGUUAAUGUACAAGGAAUAAUUGUAAUUUGAAGCAAGUACUUGUAUAUUGUAAUGUUGGUUUGUAAA